UCCCUGGUGGUCCAGUGGUCAGGACUCUUCGCUUCCUGUGCAUAGCGUGCAGGUUCAACCCCUGUUUAGGGAA
rnacentral:tRNA from 1 species